GUUUGACCUCAAAUCAGGUAGGAUUACCCGCUGAACUUAAGCAUAUCAAUAAGCGGAGGA
rnacentral:rRNA from 11 species